rnacentral:rRNA from 1 species
UACGAAGGGGGCUAGCGUUGCUCGGAAUCACUGGGCGUAAAGCGCACGUAGGCGGCUUCUUAAGUCAGGGGUGAAAUCCUGGAGCUCAACUCCAGAACUGCCUUUGAUACUGAGGAGCUUGAGUCCGGGAGAGGUGAGUGGAACUGCGAGUGUAGAGGUGAAAUUCGUAGAUAUUCGCAAGAACACCAGUGGCGAAGGCGGGUCUCUGGACAGUUCCUGACGCUGAGGCACGAAGGUCAGGGGAGCAAACGGG